rnacentral:rRNA from 1 species
CGCAAGUGCGAUAAGGGGACCCCAAGUGCGAGGGCAUAUAGUCCUCGCUUUUCACGACUGUAAGGCGGUCGUGGAAUAAGAGCUGGGCAAGACCGGUGCCAGCCGCCGCGGUAAUACCGGCAGCUCAAGUGAUGACCGAUAUUAUUGGGCCUAAAGCGUCCGUAGCCGGCCACGAAGGUUCAUCGGGAAAUCCGCCAGCUCAACUGGCGGGCGUCCGGUGAAAACCACGUGGCUUGGGACCGGAAGGCUCGAGGGGUACGUCCGGGGUAGGAGUGAAAUCCCGUAAUCCUGGACGGACCACCGAUGGCGAAAGCACCUCGAGAAGACGGAUCCGACGGUGAGGGACGAAAGCUAGGGUCUCGAACCGGAUUAGAUACCCGGGUAGUCCUAGCUGUAAACAAUGCUCGCUAGGUGUGACACAGGCUACGAGCCUGUGUUGUGCCGUAGGGAAGCCGAGAAGCGAGCCGCCUGGGAAGUACGCCCGC